rnacentral:pre_miRNA from 1 species
AUAUGCCUGGCUCCCUGUAUGCCACUCGCGUAGCUGCCAACUCCCCAAACCUUGCGUUGGCUCUACCGCGGAUGGCGUGCGAGGAGCCAAGCAUGA